CUGAGUACCGGGGUCUCUGAUCCCUACUCCCAUCCCAUGUUAACCUUCUACUGUUGCUUUGGCGGACCGGUGGUGUUACCGCCGCCGGCCUCUGGGCUGGAGAGUGUCUGCCAGAGGAUCAUCAAACGCUGUUUAAAACGUGGCGUCUGAGUGCAACUUAAUUGAAAUCA
rnacentral:misc_RNA from 1 species